rnacentral:rRNA from 1 species
UACGGGGGGGGUAAGCGUUGUUCGGAAUUACUGGGCGUAAAGGGCUCGUAGGCGGCCAACUAAGUCGGAUGUGAAAUCCCCAGGCUUAACCUGGGAACUGCAUCCGAUACUGGAUGGCUUGAAUCCGGGAGAGGGAUGCAGAAUUCCAGGUGUAGCGGUGAAAUGCGUAGAUAUCUGGAGGAAUACCGGUGGCGAAGGCGGCAUCCUGGACCGGCAUUGACGCUGAUGAGCGAAAGCUAGGGGAGCAAACGGGG